rnacentral:rRNA from 1 species
AGAGCGAACGUUAGCGGCGGGCCUAACACAUGCAAGUCGAGCGAGAAAGGGGCUUCGGCCCUGAGUACAGCGGCGGACGGGUGAGUAAUACGUAGGUAACCUGCCCCAUAGUCUGGGACAACGGUCCGAAAGGACCGCUAAUACCGGAUUCGUUCCUUGGGACUUCGGUCCUGGGGAGGAAAGCUGCCUCGCAAGAGGUGGCGCUGAGGGAGGGCCUACGUCGCAUCAGCUAGUUGGUGGGGUAAUGGCCUACCAAGGCGAAGACGCGUAGCUGGUCUGAGAGGAUGAUCAGCCACACUGGGACUGAGACACGGCCCAGACUCCUACGGGAGGCAGCAGUGGGGAAUAUUGGACAAUGGGGGCAACCCUGAUCCAGCCACGCCGCGUGAGUGAUGAAGGCCUUCGGGUCGUAAAGCUCUGUGGGAGGACGAACGUCCGGACAUGACCUGCCGGGUGACGGUACCUCCGUUAGCAACGCACCGGCUAACGUUCGUGCCAGCAGCCGCGUAAUCG